rnacentral:piRNA from 1 species
UACAUAAAUGGUGACACCUCACAGC